ensembl:misc_RNA Metazoa_SRP Metazoan signal recognition particle RNA
GCUGGGCACGGUGGCUCACGCCUGUAAUCCCAGCACUUUGGGAGGCUGAGGUGGGUGGAUCACCUGAGGUCAGGAGUUCGAGAAUAGCCUGGCCAACAUGGUGAAAACCCAUCUCUA